rnacentral:rRNA from 1 species
CGCCGUUCUCUGAUGCCAUGCAGUCGAACGAUAGAAGCCCAGCUUGCUGGGUGGAUUAGUGGCGAACGGGUGAGUAACACGUGAGUAACCUGCCCUUGACUCUGGGAUAAGCCUGGGAAACUGGGUCUAAUACCGGAUAGGAACGUCCACCGCAUGGUGGGUGUUGGAAAGAUUUAUCGGUCAUGGAUGGACUCGCGGCCUAUCAGCUUGUUGGUGAGGUAAUGGCUCCACCCAAGGCGACGACCGGUAGCCGGCCUGAGAAGGGUGGACCGGCCACACUGGGACUGAGACACGUGCCAGACUCCUACGGGAGGCAGCAGUGGGGAAUAUUGCACAAUGGGCGAAAGCCUGAUGCAGCGACGCCGCGUGAGGGAUGACGGCCUUCGGGUUGUAAACCUCUUUCAGUAGGGAAGAAGCGAAAGUGACGGUACCUGCAGAAGAAGCACCGGCUAACUACGUGCCAGCAGCCGCGGUAAUACGUAGGGUGCGAGCGUUAUCCGGGAAUUAUUGGGCGUAAAGAGCUCGUAGGCGGUUUGUCGCGUCUGUCGUGAAAGUCCGGGGCUUAACCCCGGAUCUGCGGUGGGUACGGGCAGACUAGAGUGCAGUAGGGGAGACUGGAAUUCCUGGUGUAGCGGUGGAAUGCGCAGAUAUCAGGAGGAACACCGAUGGCGAAGGCAGGUCUCUGGGCUGUAACUGACGCUGAGGAGCGAAAGCAUGGGGAGCGAACAGGAUUAGAUACCCUGGUAGUCCAUGCCGUAAACGUUGGGCACUAGGUGUGGGGACCAUUCCACGGUUUCCGCGCCGCAGCUAACGCAUUAAGUGCCCCGCCUGGGGGAGUACGGCCGCAAGGCUAAAACUCAAAGGAAUUGACGGGGGCCCGCACAAGCGGCGGAGCAUGCGGAUUAAUUCGAUGCAACGCGAAGAACCUUACCAAGGCUUGACAUGUUCUCGAUCGCCGUAGAGAUACGGUUUCCCCUUUGGGGCGGGAUCACAGGUGGUGCAUGGGUUGUCGUCAGCUCGUGUCGUGAGAUGUUGGGUUUAAGUCCCGCAACGAGCGCAACCCUCGUUUCCAUGUUGCCAGCACGUGAUGGUGGGGACUCAUGGGAGACUGCCGGGGUCAACUCGGGAGGAAGGUGGGGACGACGUCAAAUCAUCAUGCCCCUUAUGUUCUUGGUCUUCACGCAUGCUACAAUGUCCGGUACAAUGGGUUGCGAAAUACUGUGAUGUUGCAGCCUCAAUCCCAAAAAGCCGGUCUCAGUUCGGAUUGGGGUCUGCAACUCGACCCCAUGAAGUCGGAGUCGCUAGUAAUCGCAGAUCAGCAACGCUGCGGUGAAUACGUUCCCGGGCCUUGUACACACCGCCCGUCAAGUCACGAAAGUCGGUAACACCCGAAGCCGGUGGCCUAACUCGUUGUGGGUGGAGCGAGCCGGAGAUGUCCGAGCAA